GACGAACGCUGGCGGCGUGCUUAACACAUGCAAGUCGAGCGGUAAGGCCCUUUCGGGGGUACGACGAGCGGCGAACGGGUGAGUAACACGUGGGUGACCUGCCCUCCAGCUCUGGGAUAAGCCUGGGAAACUGGGUCUAAUACCGGAUAUGACUCCAUGACGCAUGUUGGUGGGGUGGAAAGCCUUGUGCGGCUGAGGAUGGGCCCGCGGCCUAUCAGCUUGUUGGUGGGGGUGAGGUCCGUACCAAGGCGACGACGGGUAGCCGCCUGAGGGGGCGACCGGCCACACUGGGACUGAGACACGGCCCAGACUCCUACGGGAGGCAGCAGUGGGGAAUCUUGCGCAAUGGGCGAAAGCCUGACGCAGCGACGCGCGUGA
rnacentral:rRNA from 1 species